rnacentral:rRNA from 1 species
AGCGACUAAGCGUACACGGUGGAUGCCCUGGCAGUCAGAGGCGAUGAAGGACGUGCUAAUCUGCGAUAAGCGUCGGUAAGGUGAUAUGAACCGUUAUAACCGGCGAUUUCCGAAUGGGGAAACCCAGUGUGUUUCGACACACUAUCAUUAACUGAAUCCAUAGGUUAAUGAGGCGAACCGGGGGAACUGAAACAUCUAAGUACCCCGAGGAAAAGAAAUCAACCGAGAUUCCCCCAGUAGCGGCGAGCGAACGGGGAGCAGCCCAGAGCCUGAAUCAGUGUGUGUGUUAGUGGAAGCGUCUGGAAAGGCGCGCGAUACAGGGUGACAGCCCCGUACACAAAAAUGCACAUGCUGUGAGCUCGAUGAGUAGGGCGGGACACGUGGUAUCCUGUCUGAAUAUGGGGGGACCAUCCUCCAAGGCUAAAUACUCCUGACUGACCGAUAGUGAACCAGUACCGUGAGGGAAAGGCGAAAAGAACCCCGGCGAGGGGAGUGAAAAAGAACCUGAAACCGUGUACGUACAAGCAGUGGGAGCACGCUUAGGCGUGUGACUGCGUACCUUUUGUAUAAUGGGUCAGCGACUUAUAUUCUGUAGCAAGGUUAACCGAAUAGGGGAGCCGAAGGGAAACCGAGUCUUAACUGGGCGUUAAGUUGCAGGGUAUAGACCCGAAACCCGGUGAUCUAGCCAUGGGCAGGUUGAAGGUUGGGUAACACUAACUGGAGGACCGAACCGACUAAUCUUGAAAAAUUAGCGGAUGACUUGUGGCUGGGGGUGAAAGGCCAAUCAAACCGGGAGAUAGCUGGUUCUCCCCGAAAGCUAUUUAGGUAGCGCCUCGUGAAUUCAUCUCCGGGGGUAGAGCACUGUUUCGGCAAGGGGGUCAUCCCGACUUACCAACCCGAUGCAAACUGCGAAUACCGGAGAAUGUUAUCACGGGAGACACACGGCGGGUGCUAACGUCCGUCGUGAAGAGGGAAACAACCCAGACCGCCAGCUAAGGUCCCAAAGUCAUGGUUAAGUGGGAAACGAUGUGGGAAGGCCCAGACAGCCAGGAUGUUGGCUUAGAAGCAGCCAUCAUUUAAAGAAAGCGUAAUAGCUCACUGGUCGAGUCGGCCUGCGCGGAAGAUGUAACGGGGCUAAACCAUGCACCGAAGCUGCGGCAGCGACGCUUAUGCGUUGUUGGGUAGGGGAGCGUUCUGUAAGCCUGCGAAGGUGUGCUGUGAGGCAUGCUGGAGGUAUCAGAAGUGCGAAUGCUGACAUAAGUAACGAUAAAGCGGGUGAAAAGCCCGCUCGCCGGAAGACCAAGGGUUCCUGUCCAACGUUAAUCGGGGCAGGGUGAGUCGACCCCUAAGGCGAGGCCGAAAGGCGUAGUCGAUGGGAAACAGGUUAAUAUUCCUGUACUUGGUGUUACUGCGAAGGGGGGACGGAGAAGGCUAUGUUGGCCGGGCGACGGUUGUCCCGGUUUAAGCGUGUAGGCUGGUUUUCCAGGCAAAUCCGGAAAAUCAAGGCUGAGGCGUGAUGACGAGGCACUACGGUGCUGAAGCAACAAAUGCCCUGCUUCCA